rnacentral:tRNA from 1 species
GCCUUCGUGAUGUAGUGGUCAGCACGCUGGGCUCGUACUCCAGAGGUCCGUGGUUCGAGAGCGAAGGCG